AAAAAAAAAAGGAAGGAACUGCUGCUAUCAGAGUGAAGAAAUGUGAGGUCACCCUUUGCGGGAACAGGAGGCGAGCCGGAGGAAGUUCCUUUUCCUCUCUCCAGCCUCGCCGUCUCAGCAGAGCGAAACAGGGGAGCCCCUGGCAAGCAAAUGUUGGAAGGUUCCCAGCCCAGCGUCACAGCAGAGCAGAGAGGAUUCCAAAGCUCUUGAGCUGCAUGAAGUCACUGGAACACAGUAGAGCUUCUGAACCUGUAGCUGGAGAUGAGUAUCACCAGCCAACAUCCUUGGCAGAGCUGUGAGCCAACAGCCAGCCCCAGCCUGCCAGCCGUGUGAGCAAGCAGUCUUGGAAGGUGAUUCUACAGCCCCAGCUGAAACACUCCAACUGAUGCCAUGUGAGCCGAGAAGAGCAGCCAAACUGAGCCCUUCUCAAAUCCCUGAUCCUCCAAAUCUCCUCCUGAAAAGCAUGCAGCCGGCAGAAGAUCUGGAUACCACAGAGACUGAGAUUCUACAUGUGUUCAGAGACCGGAGUCCCUACCACAGAACCUGUGACCUGUGCUUCUAGGGUCUUCAAAGUCAA